rnacentral:rRNA from 1 species
CGCUCUUUGACCCUAGAAAAUAAAGAGUCGAGCCUGCCCUGUGAUAUUUUUUAACGGCCGCAGUACCCUGACUGUGCAAAGGUAGCAUAAUCAUUUGCCCUAUAAUUGAGGGCUAGUAUGAAUGGUUUGACAAGAACAUAACUGUCUCUUUUUAAUUUUUUAAAAAUUAACUUAUAGGUGAAGAGGCCUAUCUAAAAUUGAAAGACGAGAAGACCCUGUCGAGCUUUAAAAAUUAAUUAGAUUAACUAAAAAUUUUUUUGGUUGGGGCGACCUAGGAACAUAUAAAGCUUUCUAAUAUUAAAUUUUUUAAGUGUUGAUCCAGUAAAACUGAUUUAAAAAUCAAGCUACCGCAGGGAUAACAGCGUGAUCUUCUUUAAGAGUUCUCAUUAAAAAGAAGCUUUGCGACCUCGAUGUUGGACUAAAAUAUCCUAAAGAUGCAGAAGUCUUUAAAGGUUGGUCUGUUCGACCAUUAAAAUUUU